CCCAAGGUCAAAAAGUACAUUUCCAAACGAGCUAAAACAGAACAGAGGCGACCGCUUGGCCAACGUCGGACCACUACCCGCUGAAUAAUCAUCGAGCAUGAGGUACAAGGUGAAUGACCCGGAGAGCGGCGCUCCAUCUGGUGGAAAUGCGGCGGAGGGGCCACGAAGGAGUUCAACGGAAGCA